rnacentral:rRNA from 1 species
UACGUAGGGGGCAAGCGUUGUCCGGAAUCAUUGGGCCUAAAGCAUCCGUAGCCGGUCAUGCAAGUCUUCCGUUAAAUCCAGCCGCUCAACGGUUGGGCUGCGGAGGAUACUACGUGGCUAGGAGGCGGGAGAGGCAAGCGGUACUCAGUGGGUAGGGGUAAAAUCCGUUGAUCCAUAGAAGACCACCAGUGGCGAAGGCGGCUUGCCAGAACGCGCUCGACGGUGAGGGAUGAAAGCUGGGGGAGCAAACCGG